rnacentral:rRNA from 1 species
GACGAACGCUGGCGGCGUGCUUAACACAUGCAAGUCGAACGGUAAGGCCCUUUCGGGGGUACACGAGUGGCGAACGGGUGCGUAACACGUGGGUGAUCUGCCCUGCACUUUGGGAUAAGCCUGGGAAACUGGGUCUAAUACCGGAUAGGACUACGCGAUGCAUGUCGUGUGGUGGAAAGCUUUUGCGGUGUGGGAUGGGCCCGCGGCCUAUCAGCUUGUUGGUGGGGUGAUGGCCUACCAAGGCGACGACGGGUAGCCGGCCUGAGAGGGUGUCCGGCCAAAAUGGGACUGAGGUACGGCCCAGGCUCCUACGGGAGGCAGCAGGUGGGAAUAUUUCCCAAUGGGCGCAAGCCUGAUGCAGCGACGCCGGGGGGGGGAAGACGGCCUUCGGGUUGUAAACCCCUUUCAGCACAGACGAAGCGUAAGUGACGGUAUGUGCAGAAGAAGCACCGGCCAACUACGUG